UUAAUAAAGUCACCCCUGCAGCUCUGUGUCAAUAAUCUCUCCUAAUUCCUUCCCUUAUAGCAACUCCCACUGGACAAACGGCUGCUUGUGGAACAGACUGCCCUCUUCAUAAAGCUCAGCCCCAGUGGAUUUUACAUAUUUCAGCCACAUUGGCUGACCCAGAGGUGCCAUCCACCCAUCCGGAAACAAGGAAAACCAGGACAACAUGGCUUCUGUCCUCGCAUCUGGCUCUAGCAGAGACAGCAAAGCUCUCAGAUGAAAAUUUUAGAGCUUUGCUUUCCACUGAACCAUGAUGCCUUCCCAAGACGCUGAACUAUCUGGAGGGAAACAUGUGGGGUGAGUCCGGGGGAGGUGAAGACAGCGUGGAAGCACAGAGCUCCUCUCCUUCAAAGCCAACGUUCCAAGCCUGUGCCGAAGGAAGUUCCAUUCUUUCCCACAUGUCUCUGCCUGGCUAAAUAUAAAUCCAUCUUGGUUUAUAUUAUGCUGCCUCUAAUUGAAUCACAUUCUUCAUUUGUUUAAUUCAGAAACAAUAAGCCAUCCUGAGCCCUCCCUGGGAAGCCUGCCAUGGCCUCAGCAGGCCCAGUUCCCAGGCACAUCAGGCAGGGCCUUGGCACCGGCCCCUUGCCCAGGAGCAUUUG
rnacentral:lncRNA from 1 species